rnacentral:lncRNA from 1 species
CAGACUGUGGGCAACCUUGAGUACCUCAUGAAGAUUUCUAUACAUACAAAAAGAAUUGGGCCUAACGUUUAGUCACUUUUUAAGUGAGCCAUUUUAUUCUUCAGAUCCUUACUUUUCUCUUUCUGGUCUUGGUCUGCUCAUCCUUGUUCUAUUUUCAUCCAGUUCCAGUACUGACAACUAAUUGCAAGCAGCUACUUUUUGUUUGAAUAUUGAAAAACCUUGAAUUGCUGCUGUAUUAACUCCCAAGCUUUUUGAUGACAAUGCUUGGUUUCCUCAUUCUUUCAUUCACCAAACCUACAUUGAGAAAAUG